GUGGCUGCCGCCCUUCCCCCACCGACGCCGGCGGGAGCCGCCCGUUCGUGCUGCCAGCAGCUUCCGCCUGCUGCGGUCCUGGCAAGCACCUCGGGAUCCCAUUCCUUCACAGGGACCCUAGCCAGUUAAAGCUGAUACAUUCCUGUGGGUCAACUAUGCAACUAACUCAGAUUUUGAGCAAACAAAGCUCUCAAGUUGGUGAUCCUCAGGAGUCUCUGCAUUAGUUGGACAGCUCUUCUGGAAUUAUCUUCUAAGUCAACUGUGGGUUGGGUAGGUGGCUCUGCUGAUUUUUCGCUGGACUUCCACAUUUGGGACCAGUUGGCUGUCAUCAGCUCUAGAAAGGGUGUGGCCGUUUUACAUUGGCUGUUUUCCUCACAUUCCUCAAGCAGGUACUGUAGUAAAGAACUGGAGAAAUACAGUCAGAUGGGAAGUAGCCCCUACUGUCAAGGAGCUUGCCAUCUAAUGGGGGAGACAGGCAAGUAAACCAAAGACUACACAGUGCAGUAUGGUAAGUGCCAUGAUUUUGAUGUGACAGGGCACAGUGGACGACCUUCCAAAUCAAAGCAAGUAACUAGGGGUUGACAAUGGUAAGUAUCAUAGUUGAAGUAUCCUUGAACAAGGUUUCAGGAAGAAGAAGAAGGGAAUUUCAUGCAGGGAAACAGCCAAAGCUCAGUGAGUCAAAAUAUCACAGCAUUCUUGGUAAGCCCAAUUUUUUUUUUCUAUUUUGCUAUUUUGGUGGAGAGAAAGGAACACAUAAAGGAAUAACAUGAGAGAAAGCUAUUUGGGGAAGUGUAGUAGUUAAGGUUCUGGCUGCAAACAACAACUGCAGCUCAUUAAGUUGACUUUAGUGGAAGAAUACUGGGGUAUCUCAUGGAAUCUUGGGAACUGUUGAAUAACCAGGGAAACUCUGGGAAACUCACUGGUAGGAAUCCAUAAACUGUCCUCCUGGUGGGCUGUAAACAACUCACCCU
rnacentral:lncRNA from 1 species